GAUGAACGCUGGCGGCGUGCCUAAUACAUGCAAGUCGAGCGAACGGACGAGAAGCUUGCUUCUCUGAUGUUAGCGGCGGACGGGUGAGUAACACGUGGAUAACCUACCUAUAAGACUGGGAUAACUUCGGGAAACCGGAGCUAAUACCGGAUAAUAUUUUGAACCGCAUGGUUCAAAAGUGAAAGACGGUCUUGCUGUCACUUAUAGAUGGAUCCGCGCUGCAUUAGCUAGUUGGUAAGGUAACGGCUUACCAAGGCAACGAUGCAUAGCCGACCUGAGAGGGGGAUCGGCCACACUGGAACUGAGACACGGUCCAGACUCCUACGGGAGGCAGCAGUAGGGAAUCUUCCGCAAUGGGCGAAAGCCUGACGGAGCAACGCCGCGUGAGUGAUGACGGUCUUCGGAUCGUAAAACUCUGUUAUUAGGGAAGAACAUAUGUGUAAGUAACUGUGCACAUCUUGGCGGUACCUAAUCAGAAAGCCACGGCUAACUACGUG
rnacentral:rRNA from 1 species